UUGAAGUCGAGAAUGAAAGGAAAGAUUGAAAUAAACUGUCUUAAAAAGUUUUUUGUAAAAAUUACUGAUAUGGUGAAAAUUCCAUAAAAAAUUUUAAUAGACGAGAAGACCCUAUGAAUUAUUUAUAAAAAGAUUUUUCAAAAAUUUUAAAUUUUUGUUGGGGCAACAAAGGUUUUAAUUCAUUUAAUACAAAAAAAUUUUAAAAUUAAAUAUAACAUUUGAAGUUUUACUAUAAAUGAAUUUAAUU
rnacentral:rRNA from 1 species